CCAGCAGCUGCGGUAAUUCCAGCUCCAAUAGCGUAUAUUAAAGUUGUUGCAGUUAAAACGCUCGUAGUCUGAUGUAAUGGGGACUGGAGUGGGGAGCAGCGAUGCUCUUUGCUUUGGUCCUCAUCAGGGGGACAGCAAUGUCCCAGUUUACUUUGAGGAAAUUAGAGUGUUCAAAGCAGGCGAUUGCUUGAAUACUGCAGCAUGGAAUAAUGGAAUAGGACUCGCGUCUUAUUUUGUUGGUUUGGAGAUGUGAGUAAUGAUGAAUAGGGAUAGUUGGGGGCAUUAAUAUUUAAUUGUCAGAGGUGAAAUUCUUGGAUUUAUGAAAGAUUAACUUCUGCGAAAGCAUCUGC
rnacentral:rRNA from 1 species